rnacentral:lncRNA from 1 species
CAUGAUCAUUAAAAUGUGUUGCCAAGGAGCAGUGACCAAGCAACGAACAAAAUAAAGCAUUCUUUCUUGCUUUGCUUUUACAGUGAAAAUGAGGGAUUUAUUUUGGAUACUGACCAAGUCUCACUGAGUCAGGAGUCCUUCUACCCUAGUGCCAGCCCAUACCACAAAGAGAACUGGACAAAAGUAGAGAUUUCUGAGCAGACGCACCAUCUUAACUUACAAGAGUAUGCGGGAGAAACAGUUGUCCAAAGGGAAAUAGAAAAGAAGAGACAACUUUCCAGGAGCCAUCCCAUCACCAAUGAUUACCUGGUUAACGUUGGCAGCAUUCCAGAAGAAAAUAAAGGUAAAUACCAACGUCUUUUCCUCCAUUUUAAAGUGAACAGUAAUAAGAAAGCGUGGGUGAUAUUGAAUACAAAUUCAAAAAUGGAGAAAAAGUAUUGAUAGGUUGCCAUCUGCAAAGAGUAGCUUCAUCAAUGAGAUUAUAGUCAUCAAUAUUUUAAAUAACAUUUCCAACUGAAUCUGCUCUGGGGAAUUAUAGACUCUGUCUAAUAAGUUUCUUAAGAAUGUGAGCAUCUGGAGUAUUGUGUGCCCCCAAAGGGCAAUGCAGCAUUCACAGCUUGUACAACACGAGAGCCUGUAUUUCUUUGCCCUUCUCCAUUGAGUAGAGUUGGCCUGAGCCAUACGUAGGUACUUUGCCUAGUAGCCCUGGCCUCCUGAGAAUUGCUCCAGUCCCUCCACUUGUAUGGCACUGCUCUCUCUUCUCCUCCAACCUGUCUGAUCACUUCCUUUCAGUUUCCUUUGCUGGAUCAUCAUCCAUGUCCCACCUCCACAUUGUAGGUGUCCUGCUAAAGCUCUGACACUGUCAGUUCCCAUGGACUCAGUUAUCAGCUCUAUUUAGAUGACUCCUAAAUCUGUAUCUCUAGACCUCCUCUCUCUCCUAAGUUGCAGUCCCACUUUAUCAACUACCUUCUGGAUCUCUCCACUUGGACAUCCAAUGGUCAUCUCAAACUCAACAUGUUCAAAACAGAACUCAUCUUCCUCCCCCCACUUCACCUAAAUCUUUCUCUCCUCCAAACUUCCCAUUUUUGUUGAUCCUUUUAAUCACCUGAUUCACAACCUCUGAGUUAUCUUCUAUGCUUCAUUCUCCCUCAUCCAACCCCAUAUCCAAUUGGCGCCAAUUGGUGUCAAUUACACUUGCACAUCUCUCACAUUCAUGCCCUUCUCUCCACUCAGAUAGCCAUCAUUCUAGCUCAGCUUUUCAACAACUUUUCCCUGGACUACUAGGAGCCUCCUAACUAGACUCCUGGUUUCCAGUCUCUCCCUUUUUCAAUCCAUCCU